rnacentral:lncRNA from 10 species
GCACUUUCCCCGCCUGCAUCUGAGGCGUGGCGCAGCUGGGAGCAAAGCACAGGUGGGCUGGGCGCGGUUUGGGGUUCGGGCGUGGCAGAGUGGCGGCGGGGUCUGGGGAAGAGUUGUCUUGGGGGCAGCGCCAGCCACCAGAGCCCGAGUCAGCGCGGCCAGGACUCUGCAGGGGCAGGUAGCGACCCUUAGAGACGCAACGUGGCGCAGCGGACUCGGCUGCGUGGGGCAAGGGCCGGGGCCGGACACAGGAGCAGCGGGGAUGCCGGGUGCGCUCCGAGGGUGUGGCCCCCGGGCUGUGCGGGGCUCAGAGCUGCUUGCUGGGCGCGGUGCCCGACAAAGGACAGAGAGGAGUCCUGGGAGGCGGCUCAUCAUUGCUGAAGAUCAAGGCUUGGAGGAGCUACUGGACUUGGAGGUGCAGUCCCGAUGCCUGGAGUCCAUUCUUGCUGUUCUUGCUGAGAAGAUGUUAGAGCACCACAGGCUUGUUGGCCAAGGUCCUGGAAAGACAUGAAUAAAAGGGACGCAGUUCUCUGUCACUGGUGGAGUUGUCGGUUUCCAAAAACACAAAAAUGAAGUCUCGCUGUUGCCCAGUCUGGAGUGGAGUGGCGCGACCUCGGCUCACUGCAACCUCUAUCUCCAGGAUGCAAGGGAUUCUCGUGUCUCAGCCUCCCAAGUAGCUGGGACUAUAGGCGAGUGCCACCAUGCCCAGCUAAUUUUGGCCAGGCUGGUCUCAAAUUCCUGGCCUCAAGUGAUCCAUCUUCCUCGGCCUCCCAAAGUGCUGGGAUUACAGGCAUGAGCCACCAUGCCCAGCCCCAUCUUUCUAAUUUUAAUCAAUUUAUUUAAAUAAAAUUUUUCAUCACUACCA